rnacentral:rRNA from 1 species
UAACAAGGAUUCCCCUAGUAACGGCGAGUGAAGAGGGAAGAGCUCAAAGUUGGAACCGAGUCGCUUUAAGUGAUUUCGGGUUGUAAGCUAGAGAAGCGUUUUCCAGGCGAGCUGGGUAUGUAAGUCCCUUGGAAUAGGGCAUCAUAGAGGGUGAGAAUCCCGUAUGCCUACCCAAGCUAAUAUCGCCUUGUUGUGAUACGCUUUCAAAGAGUCAGGUUGUUUGGGAAUGCAGCCUAAAAUGGGUGGUAAAUCUCAUCUAAAGCUAAAUAUUGGCGAGAGACCGAUAGCGAACAAGUACCGUGAGGGAAAGAUGAAAAGAACUUUGAAAAGAGAGUUAAACAGUAUGUGAAAUUGCUGAAAGGGAACCGUUUGAAGUUAGACUGGCUGGUCUAUAAUCAAUCCUGGCUUUGGCUAGGAUGCACUUGUAGGCCAUUUUGCCUGCCAACGACAGUUUUUUGGGUAGGAAAAAAGUACUGAGAAGGUAGCCUCGUUUUCGGAUGAGGUGUUAUAGCUCGGUACAAAAUACUAUCCGAGAGACUGAGGAAUGCAGCGAACGCUUAUAGGCAGAGCUGCAGGUCGCUUGGUCAAAUCUAGGCUGGAAUUUCUUACCUCGGGUAGUGCCAGUCUUUACUAGAUCAACUCGGCUUGUAGACUUCUAGUUUCGCUUAGGUCGUUGGCUUAAUGACUUUAAAUGA